rnacentral:hammerhead_ribozyme from 1 species
GCACUGCUGAGGAGUCCCGUAAAAGGGCGAAACGGCCGUCCAGUGC